rnacentral:rRNA from 1 species
CAAUAGCAUAUAUUUAAGUUGUUGCAGUUAAAAAGCUCGUAGUUGGAUUUCGGUUAAGAGCGACCGGUCCGCCGUUUGGUGUGCACUGGUUGGUUUUAACUUCCUGUAGAGGACGUGCUCUGGGUUUAACGACCUGGACUCGGAGUCUACGUGGUUACUUUGAAAAAAUUAGAGUGUUCAAAGCGGGCUUACGCUUGAAUAUUUCAGCAUGGAAUAACACUAUAGGACUCCUGUCCUAUUUCGUUGGUCUCGGGACGGGAGUAAUGAUUAAGAGGAACAGUUGGGGGCAUUCGUAUUUCAUUGUCAGAGGUGAAAUUCUUGGAUUUAUGAAAGACGAACUUCUGCGAAAGCAUUUGCCAAGGAUGUUUUCAUUAA